rnacentral:rRNA from 1 species
UACAGAGGCCCCAAGCGUUACUGAGAAUCACUGGGUUUAAAGGGUGCGUAGGUGGCGCGUUAAGUCCGUUGUGAAAUCCCUGGGCUCAACCCAGGAAUUGCUUCGGAUACUGGCGUGCUUGAGGCCGGUAGGGGUCACUGGAACUGACGGUGGAGCGGUGAAAUGCGUAGAUAUCGUCAGGAACGCCGAUGGUGAAGACAGGUGACUGGGCCGGAACUGACCACGUGAGGCACGAAAGCGUGGGAGCGAACGGGAUUAGA